UUACAUUCAGAUAUAAAUUUUAAUGUUUACACAUACAACAACUUAAUAAAAUACCAACCUUUUUUGAGCCACACCCCACAUCAGUAAUAAUAGAAUACUUCAAAAACCCUACCUACUUCUCAAAUGAAGAUAUCAACUUCACAUCAAGAUGCACUGAUCAACUUCACAUCAAGAUGCACGGUUUAACACAGCAAUCUUCUUGCAAAAGAAUCGUGUUGACGGGGUAUGCCUUUCUCAUUAAAGGUGUGUGACAACUUUGAUCUGAAUCUGCAAUGCUUCACGCGAUAAAUACUCCAGUGUGGUUAAUUUAUG
rnacentral:lncRNA from 1 species